AUGACUCACUAUACCAUGAUUCACUAUGACUCACUAUACCAUGACUCACUAUGACUCACUAUACCAUUUGAUGACUUAACUUUAACUUUCAUAUGCAGUACUAUAAUAUAUUUUAUUUGUCAUGCUAAAGACGUUUGGAUUACACACUAUUCAUUUUGUUACAUAUUUUAUUUUAAUUUCACACUUUUUUUAAAAUACAUAGUAAAAAUACUUUACUCUGAAUUUUUUAACAUAGUAUACUCUGACACUUGUUGAAAUACAAUACUAUAUUUUUUCAGCCAUACUAUAUUAUGCUGUUUUGUGACACACUAUAGUAUGAAAUGUUUUACUAUAGUAUGAAUCAUAUUCUGUACUGCAUUUACAUUUUCAUGACAUACUGUACUGUGAUUUCUUUGGCAUACAGUAGAAUGGAUAAUUUCAAUGUGUUUCUAUGCGUUAUACAUUACAUUUUAGCCCAUACAUUAUACAUUUUUCAUAAUGUUUUAUGGCAUUUUAUACUUUUACCCUUUUGUUUACCUAUUUUACUUUAAUAAGACAAUUAUCAAAUACUUUCUGUGACAUAUUUAUAACAUUCUGUGCUUUUUUACAUAGUGUACAAAGGAAGGUAUGAGUGGUAUAAUUGGUACUGUAUACGACUGCCUAUGAACAAAUAGCUUAGGUACCUAAACAUAGUACUAAAAAAGAAAUUCUCAACAUUUACCUUUAAACAACCAAAAUAGUGACUGUUCCAGGAAAAAAUAAGAUUCCCUUUUAUAGAAUGACACAUGUGAGUUGGUGUAUUGCAUGCAUCCCAUAGAGACGACAGGUCUCUGUUGAUAUUACGUGUGUGAAGCGAGGCUUUUCCAGCAUAACCAGCGUGCAAACAUAAAGAAAACAGCAACGCAAGCGAGGCGUCCCUCUGAGACGCUUUGAAAUACCUUGAGCAGAAGGCAAAGAACAGGCUCGGUGAGGACGAGUUACAUGGACUGUUCCUUUUGCCUGGUCCGGUGAGCAGGAUCACAGGUCAGCCAGUCAGAAGAAUGGACCAUUUCAAAGGAGCCGGUUGUGUUAAACAUGUAAGGCUGUAGAACCUCCUACAGCCAUCUCGCAACAUCAAUGCAGUGGAAUAAAAAUGUUUUUAUCAACCGUUGAAUCUACAAAUAAAAUUACUCUGAAAGCGAGUUCAACAGCAUACUACCUGUUACACACGUUACCCUGAGUGUCCACAGAGUGGAAGUGUUUACUCAACCAACAAUCUGUGCAGCUGUGGCUGCUGGGACAGAAACGUCAGCGCAUUGAUAGACCUCCCUGGUUUAAUGGCUGCUGAUGCAGAUAUAAAUCACUGUCACGCUGCAGUGACAGAUGAAGACAUUGUAGGUAAUGUUAAAAAGCGUUAAUGUGGCCAUAAUUAAAACCCGACAGUGUCCCUCACUUCACAUUGUUGAUCAUUACUAACCUUUUGAAUAGUCGUUAACUGUCUAUCUUUGGUGUGUGUACAUGUGUGUGUGCAUGAGGACUUCACAGAUUUAGCAUUCAUGUCGUCUGUCCCAGUUAGCAACAACAGGUCAAGUCCUUGUCCCAGUUGGGUGUUUUCAUGGGUUUGCAAAGCAAAUAAUUCUGUAUUUGUGUUUGCAUGUGUGUCUGUGUGUUGAUGUUGCACUGCCUCCUUGACAUUUGGAUUUACAUGUGAUGAGCUCGCUGGUGAGAUAAUGAGUUCCCGGACAAAAAAAUCUCUCUUCUGAACCACGGCUGUGUGACAUCUUCAGGCAGGUCUCAUCCAGCAUUCACGGCCAUUCACGAUUCAUAAAUAUCCCAAGAAACUAUUUGGUUUGUCAUCCGAAUGAUCUACAUCCAGGAAGUAUAUAGCCCGUAAAAGCGUAACUUGCAUGAAUGUUGUUGAUGCACUUCAGUGGUUAUUUUAACCCAAACAACCAUAUUUUCCUCGAUCUAACCAAGCAGUCUCGUUGCCUAAACCGCAAAGAGAAGUUUCCUUCUUUUAUUUUGAAAAUAAUGUAACCAUGUAUUGAGCAGGUAUUGACUUGUGUGGCUCACUUUGGAAGGCAACCACAUCAGCAAUUACAAUUACAAUUUCUUAAAAUAUCAUAUGAAUCAAUGUAUGUAUGGAUAUUUAAUCAUUGAAUAAUGUGCAUAUUGAUUGAUUAUUUGUUGUUUUGAAAUUCCGGAUGCAUCUUCAUUACCCUGGGAAAUGUCCCUGUCUCAGGGUCGGGUAUGUCGGGCCUGAGGGGAGGAGAUGGAGCUGUGACUGUCGUCUCUCCUCCUCUGGCGGCCGGCUGUUUCUAUGCCGACCCUCCUCUACGGUUCAUACAGACGCUUUUAUGGAGACGGAGCAGUUAUCAAACAAUCACAGCCAGCAUGUAUCCAGCUGGGUUUCUGAGUAACAACCGGACGCUUUCGAAGAAGCAAUUUGCCUUCAAUGUUUCAGAGCGCUGUGUUCUUAAACAGAGCUAUGAAGUCUGUCAUUAGAAAAUGAAACGAGAAGAAUACUUUUGAUCAAACAAUAGAAAGGUGAUUUAAGAUGAACCUUUGAUGGACACACAGGUUGCUUGCAUUCUGUAUAAAUCACUCCUCCUUUAAAGCAAAUGAAUGUACCGAGAUGCAUCGCUGUUGGCACAGACGCCUCAUGUUCUCCACCAUCAACCCACGGCCAAAAAACAAACCAUCACCGCAAAAACCCGAUAAUGGUUGUUUUUAACACGGAUUACACUUUAAUCUCCCCGUACAGUGGCGUUUGCACCUCUGCCCGCAUGCUCUUUUAACGCUGUGACUGA
ensembl:lncRNA